rnacentral:rRNA from 1 species
GGCUUGCCCCUUGGAUCAGUGGCGAACGGGUGAGUAACACGUGAGCAAUCUGCCCCUGACUCUGGGAUAAGCGCUGGAAACGGCGUCUAAUACUGGAUACGAGCCGCAGCCGCAUGGCUAGUGGUUGGAAAGAUUUUUCGGUCAGGGAUGAGCUCGCGGCCUAUCAGCUUGUUGGUGAGGUAAUGGCUCACCAAGGCGUCGACGGGUAGCCGGCCUGAGAGGGUGACCGGCCACACUGGGACUGAGACACGGCCCAGACUCCUACGGGAGGCAGCAGUGGGGAAUAUUGCACAAUGGGCGGAAGCCUGAUGCAGCAACGCCGCGUGAGGGAUGACGGCCUUCGGGUUGUAAACCUCUUUUAGCAGGGAAGAAGCGUGAGUGACGGUACCUGCAGAAAAAGCACCGGCUAACUACGUGCCAGCAGCCGCGGUAAUACGUAGGGUGCAAGCGUUAUCCGGAAUUAUUGGGCGUAAAGAGCUCGUAGGCGGUUUGUCGCGUCUGCUGUGAAAUCCCGAGGCUCAACCUCGGGCCUGCAGUGGGUACGGGCAGACUAGAGUGCGGUAGGGGAGAUUGGAAUUCCUGGUGUAGCGGUGGAAUGCGCAGAUAUCAGGAGGAACACCGAUGGCGAAGGCAGAUCUCUGGGCCGUAACUGACGCUGAGGAGCGAAAGGGUGGGGAGCAAACAGGCUUAGAUACCCUGGUAGUCCACCCCGUAAACGUUGGGAACUAGUUGUGGGGUCCAUUCCACGGAUUCCGUGACGCAGCUAACGCAUUAAGUUCCCCGCCUGGGGAGUACGGCCGCAAGGCUAAAACUCAAAGGAAUUGACGGGGACCCGCACAAGCGGCGGAGCAUGCGGAUUAAUUCGAUGCAACGCGAAGAACCUUACCAAGGCUUGACAUAUA